rnacentral:rRNA from 1 species
AUUGAACGCUGGCGGCAGGCCUAACACAUGCAAGUCGAACGAGUGGCGGACGGGUGAGUAAUGUCUGGGAAACUGCCCGAUGGAGGGGGAUAACUACUGGAAACGGUAGCUAAUACCGCAUACCAUCGGAUGUGCCCAGAUGGGAUUAGCUUGUAGGUGAGGUAACGGCUCACCUAGGCGACGAUCCCUAGCUGGUCUGAGAGGAGGACCAGCCACACGGGAACGUAGACACGGUCCAGACGUCUACGGUAGGCAGCAGGGGGGAAUAUGGCACAAUGGGCGCAAGCCUGAUGCAGGCAUGCCGGGUGUAUGAAGAAGGCCUUCGGGUUGGAAAGUACUUUCAGCGGGGAGGCGUUACCCGCAGAAGAAGCACAGGCUAACUCCGUGCCAGCAGCCGCGGUAAGAC